GACGGAGGGGGCAAGCGUUGUUCGGAAUUAUUGGGCGUAAAGGGCUCGUAGGCGGACCGGCAAGUCUGGCGUGAAAUCUCCACCGCUCAACGGGGAGAGGCCGCUGGAAACUGCCGCGUCUUGAGUUUGGCAGAGGAGCGUGGAAUUCCGCAUGUAGCGGUGGAAUGCGUAGAUAUGCGGAAGAACACCGGUGGCGAAGGCGGCGCUCUGGGCCAAAACUGACGCUGAGGAGCGAAAGCCAGGGGAGCAAACGGG
rnacentral:rRNA from 1 species